GAUGUGAACCCUGGCCAAUGCCUUCAAAUUAUUAUUCUUCCAUUCCUUUACCUAACUUUUUCUGUAUCGGAUGGUCCGACAGACGGGUACCGGUCGAGCUGAUGUGUAGUUCUGUCUCGGAGAGACUUGACUGGGAGUGUCGCAGAUUCUUACUCAGAACCAGAGCUUCUCAGGGUCUGUCCCUCCGCACGUGAGACCAGAUGGUCAGGCUGUGUUCCUCCUGAAGCAGGCCAUUGUCCAGACUGCCACCUACCGCAAGAAAGGUGUUCUCAAUAUUGUGGAGUGUGACGAUGUCUGGCAUUCUGUAUACAUGGAGAUGAAUGAGCUAGAUACCAAUGUUACAUCGGGGAUGGAAAGUCAGUGAAAACAUAAAGUGUCACCGAAAUGAACAAACUGCUUGCAGUGUCAGUCUCUGCCAUCUUGGAGAAAAGCACCGUGAAAGGGGCGAAUCUUUGCAGAAUCAGAGCGAUGCUUUGCCGAGUGCUCUUUGUCAAGUUCAAAUCGCUUCAUCAUAUCAAUCAUCUGAAGUGGUGUCGCUGGCAGACGACGGUCACAAUAAAACAAUGGGAUAAGCAAGACCACGCACGCGCGCACACACACAUAACCCCUCCCUCCCUCCCUCCCUGUCCUUUCGGGUUUGCACACGGAACUAAGAAAACUGCUAAAUUUUGAUUGGAUGUUGCCAUAGGACACGGAUCUAAACGAAAGAGCCUCAUCACUGCCACUUACCUUGUGGUUGUUGUUACAAGCAACGGUUCCCGUGGCCUGGUGUAACAGCAGGCCGUGCCCUCUGCUCGAGAACAACAACAGUGGCUGUAAUCAGACACACAACUUCCACUUCCGGCCAGGACGCUGCCUGCGGUGCUGUGAACCUGUUCUCACCAGGGUGUCGGCACACACUUGGUGCAAGCUGUGCUCGCAGCAGGGGGGGAUGCUGGUAUACCGGGGGUUCAGCUUAACUUAGUUUGAAAGGUCGUGACGUCAUCAGACGCCAUUUUGGUAGACCGGGUGUCCGAAAUGUGUGGUUAAUAAAUAUGCCGAUUGAAUGUGUUAAUGUUUGGAGUUUUAAGUACAUGUAUUGUAAACCCUUUGUGGUUGAAAGGUGGUGGAGAUCAACUGGAGGAUUAUCACGAGGGCGAUUUCGCCAUAGUAUCGUGAACUGCUCAAAUGAUGGCGUCUCAAGCUGUCUUGGGUACAGCAUACUCCUUGGUGUUUGUACUUGAACUGCAUACCAACUUCAA